rnacentral:lncRNA from 1 species
CAUCUUAUGUACUUCAAGUCUGGAGAAGAUGAGACACGAAUGCUGGAGGAAUUACAAGACAGAGGGGCUUUACUGCAACAGUGAACAAGCUGAAAAUUACAAGUUACCAUGAUGAACUCUGAGCUAAAUUUCGGUUGGGUUUUGCUUAAUUGGAGGAAAGGGACAGAGUUCCAGGAUAAACCAACAGAAGGGACAGUCACUCUGAAUUCAUACAUGAACUCGUGGAUGGAAAGGUUACUCCCCACAGGAGGCAUUCAGGACACCCGGCUGACAAGGUGUUUCUAACAUUAUAACCACCAGAUUUUUAAUGGAGUUUAAAUGUCUUUAAUCACACAGGCUAAGCGGCACUAAGCACAAGUUCAAGGUGAUUCCGACAGCUCUUAUUCUACAUCUGCAUUUUUAUCUUCCUUAGAUUAAUUCAUAUUUAAUUGCUCAUAUCACUGAUUGAAGUACUAGAGAAGGGAGCACUUUAAUUCCUUUGAUCUCAUACUUUUGCUACCUAAUAGCAAGGUCGGUCAUCAGGCAGGCCUGCAAUGUUGCUGGGCUUCUGGGGUGGGCGGAAGAGUAUGAUUGACUUCAAUUAAGUAGUGUGUAUUAUAGGUAGAGCUGAAAGCAACACCUAUAUUAAAGUUGCCUAAUGCUUCCCAUAUUAGCAAAUGCUAUAGCUUUGCCAGCAUGCUAAUCAUCAUUACUGGAACUUUGCAAAAACAU